AGUGGAAGCAUGGAGUCUUACCCACUGGACCGCCGGGGAAGUCCCUCUAGAUGGACAUCCUAGGACCGUCUACCUGGAUGCAUCAGAACUCAUUUCUUUUCAAGGGAGUCGAGAAAGGACUGGUUACUUGGCCAUGCAGCAAUUGACCUCUCCAUGAUUGAAGCUUAAAGAUACAUUCAAGAAAGUUUCAUCUCCACUACAUCCAAAAGGUGCACGUACACCUCUCGGCGCUGCCUCCUUCUCCUGGAUGCAACUCCAAGACAUUUCCUAGCCGUGCUCCUCAGGUAAGAACAAGGCAAGACCAACCCCUGCUCUCCUGGAGCUUACAUUCUAGUGGGGGUGAUGUCAACAGACAGACAAACAAACCAAGAAAAUAGUUAAAGAUUUGUAUCCGUGUUCUGAAGGAAACAAACACGACUUUGUAUAGAAAAUACUGGGGGAUCUAGGUGGUCAAGGAAGGUUUCUCAAGGAGAAAAUGACAUUUAAGCCAAAACUUGGAGGAGAGGAGACUGUAUUCGUUUCCUGGGGCUGCCAUAACACAGUACCACAAGCCAGGUGGCGGAAGUAACAGAAACGCAUUGCCUCCCAGUUCUGGAAGCUGGAAGUCCCAGAUCAAGGUGUCCACAGGGUUGGCUCCUUCUGAGGGUUAUGGGGGAAGGAUCUGUUCCUUGCCUCCUGGCUUCUGGUGUUGGCCAGCAAUCCUGGGCAUUCUUUGGCUGGUAGCAGCAUCACUCCAUCUCUCCCUUCAUCUUCACGUGGUGUUCUCCCUGGAUGUGUGUCUGUAUCCAAAUUUCCCCGUUUUAUAGGGACACUAGUCUUAUUGGAUUAGGGGCCCACCAUACUCCAAUACGAUCUCAUCUUAAUUCAUUACAUCUGCAAAGACAAUCUGAGGUAUUGGGGGAUUAGGAUCUCACUAUAUGAAUUUUGAGGGGGACACACUUCAACACGUAACUGAUAUCAAUUGUGUGAUGAAGCCCCGAGCCAGGGGGAAGACUGAACACAAAGGCCAUGAAAAGCAAAAGGGUCUGGCAUAUUCUGGAAACCAAAAGAAGGUGAAUGUGACUUAAGAGUUCUGAAUGAGGGUAAGAAGGACACAGGCAGGUGGGCAGAGGCCAGAUCAAGGACUUUGGAUUUUAUUCUAAGAUCAAUGGGAAGAUUUUGAAGGGUUCUGUGGUUUUAAAAGGUCAUGCUAUAAAUUUCCCAAUUGUCUCCUCAACAUCAAUGAAAUGCAAGGAUUUCUUAAUUUGUGUAUUUCUCAGAAGAAUUUGUAACUGUUCUUGCACUGACCUCUCAGUUCAUUACAUGAUGAAUUUGUUGAGGAAACAAUGCAUUGGGGAUAUUUUGAAACAGUUUAAUUCUUUUUCAUUUCUUUUUGGCAUUCCUAAGGUAUUUCUUUCCCUUUAACUUUCUGUCUGAUUUUCAUCUCCACAAAUAAAUGAAGUAAAUUUUUACUUCAUUCUUUUUACCCUAUCCCCAUAAAAACUUCCCUUAAAAAAAAGGAAGAUAUAUUCAACUGUGGAUUCCAGGCACGUGCUAUUUUCCUGUUUUGAGUGAAUGAUGAUAAUUUUCAGAGAUUGUGUCACCACAAAAUCAACAUUCAUUCCAAAAUUUAAUGGUUUCAAAUGUAUUUCUUUUUUUGAUUUCUAAAAAUUUUCAAAUUUCUUUUCCAUCAGAAACCCCUUGUGUGUAAUAAAUAGUUUCCACAAAACUGAAUUUUUGUUGGCAGAACAAUCGGCGUAAGUAAAACUUCACGAUUUGCCUUGGAUGUUUUGUAAUUUGAAAGCAAAUGUUGGUUUAAACAGCCCACCAUAUAUUUUGUCAAUGUCCAGCUGUGGAUGCUGGGUUUUUAGCACCACUUCUUUCCGGACAGCCAAAAAAAAAAUAUCACUUUCUUUCCUGUUUUACAUAUUGAGGUUCUGCGUAAGAUUUCAUUUGGGGAAAAGGUUCUGUCGCUUUAUAAAAAACAUGGAAAAAAGAUCAAAGCCACCAAUACUACUGGCAGUUUGUUUUGCUUCAUUUUCCUAUAACUGGAGAUAAGAAAGAAAACACGACAAACCAUAAGUGAAGAACCUUAAGACUGAAGGAGAGAAAGAAAUACGCAGACCCAGGAACAGACGCCCGAGGGAGGGUUGAUGGGUGAGUUCACGCUGGGUGGCUGGGCGGAGCCAGCCUCUGCGAAGGGGCCAGCAUUGUAGGUUCACCCUCACUUGAGUUGCUCAGGUUGUCUCCAUAUUUCCUUGUUUUUAUUUCCUACCUUGAUGAGAACUUUUCAUCUUUUCAGGGAUGCAGAACCAACAGAUUCAUGACGACUCGUUUCACAAUGUAUGUGGUUGAUGCCAUGUUUAUAUGACACUUUUGACCAAGCCUUUUCCCUCAUUGAGAAAUUAGAGGAACACUACCCUAGCCCUGUCAUUUUCCACAAUGCUUACAAAUAUUUUACCACAUAUACACUCUUACUGGUAUUUCUGCUUAUGAUGAACUUAAGUAAGAUAGCAGGAAAUGUAUGCUCCAUUGAGGGUAAAAGGAAAACAAAGUUUUAUAUGUACAGUAAGGUCACCCUAAAGAUGUUCAUAUAAGCAAGGUGAAAAGGAACUACAUCAAAACAUUAAUAGUGGUUGUCUUUGAGGGAUGGAACUAUGGGUGAUUUUUUUCCUUUUGAAAAAUUAACAUUUUUAAGAACAGAUUUUCCUUUUAUUAAUGUAAACAUUUUAAUAUAUUUUUAUAGGUGAUUUCAGAAAAUUAUUUCUUGAUAUGCUUAUGAUUUUUAUGUAAAGGACUUAUAAGGUUUUUUAAAAAUUAAUUUAUUUUAUUUUUGGCUGCGUUGGGUCUUCGUUGCAGUGCGUGGGCUUCUCAUCGCGGUGGCUUCUCUUGUUGCGGAGC